UACGGGGGGGGGCAAGCGUUGUUCGGAAUUACUGGGCGUAAAGGGCUCGUAGGCGGCCAACUAAGUCAGACGUGAAAUCCUUCGGCUUAACCGGGGAACUGCGUCUGAUACUGGAUGGCUUGAGUUUGGGAGAGGGAUGCGGAAUUCCAGGUGUAGCGGUGAAAUGCGUAGAUAUCUGGAGGAACACCGGUGGCGAAGGCGGCAUCCUGGACCAACACUGACGCUGAGGAGCGAAAGCCAGGGGAGCAAACGGG
rnacentral:rRNA from 1 species